rnacentral:tmRNA from 1 species
GGCAAGAAAAUAGGGUGCUGGCGGCCGGUGUAGCGUGCGACUGCGCGACAUCGGUGGCGAGACUUAAAUCAGAUCGCUAAACAUGUAGAUCUGCGCGAUGAAGGCUUGCGGACGGGGGUUCAAAUCCCCCCAGCUCCACCA